CGGUAGGUACUCGAGUGGCGAACGGGUGAGUAACACGUGGGUGAUCUGCCCUGCACUCUGGGAUAAGCCUGGGAAACUGGGUCUAAUACCGGAUAGGACCGCACUUUAGUGUGUGUGGUGGAAAGUUUUUUCGGUGUAGGAUGAGCCCGCGGCCCAUCAGCUUGUUGGUGGGGUAAUGGCCUACCAAGGCGGCGACGGGUAGCCGGACUGAGAGGUUGGUCGGCCACAUUGGGACUGAGAUACGGCCCAG
rnacentral:rRNA from 1 species